GCGAGGACGAUGCUAUUAUUUCUACACUUUGGAGGGACGGAUACGUAAAAAGGCCAGUGCCUCGUGGCAGCGGAACGGCCAGUGAUUCGGGUGUUCGGUGUGAUGGACCAGACAUCAUCGGGCGGGGGACACAGGAAUCCUGGCCGUACGAUGGAGGGCGCCAGUGGGGGAGGGUCGGGGCAGAGGUCACGUGGGGGGGCGGAUCCGGCCAAGAUCCGUUGCAGUAGCCGGCACGCCGGCGGCAGGGACCAUCGCGAUGGCGACACGACGCCAGUCACCCGCCUUCUGCCUCGUGAUUCGUGCUCUCCCUCCACCCAUCGAGCGCCUCAGGUAUCGCGAAGGCCGACCACGGCACCCAUGUGGCGCUCAUGGUGCAGUCGCCCUCCCCGGCACCACCAUCGCCACCACCGCCACUACAGUCUUGUCAUGGCUCCUCGGAACUUGUGAAGGCAAAAAGAAACGCCACCCUCGCACGCUGCUUCUUUCGAGAGGAAAAGUGGCGGUCAGUGGAGGUUUGGCGUCUGCUGAGCCUGGGGAAGCCUGCAGAUACCCUGGAUUUGAUCUCAGUACGUAGGGGAAUAGCACACGCGACGCAAGGAAUGAAAGCAACUUUUCGAUGUAUAUAUCUACAUGCUGAUGGAAGUACGUACGCGGGUGCAUGCUCUCAGCAACAUCAUCGUCGAUACAGGUGUGGGCUGCAAGACCAUGAUCUCCUCGGUUCGUCUCGCAGAUGCAUGGAAAGUCUUGUUGCUCCACCUGCGGACACCGAGAAGACUUCAAGCUGGGGUUCUUUUAGCUAAUCUACCCUGCUUCUGCAGGAAGGAGGAGAAACAGUACACGUGAUAUGCUCA
rnacentral:lncRNA from 1 species